UACGAAGGGGGGCUAGCGUUGCUCGGAAUCACUGGGCGUAAAGGGUGCGUAGGCGGGUCUUUUAAGUCAGGGGUGAAAUCCUGGAGCUCAACUCCAGAACUGCCUUUGAUACUGAGGAUCUUGAGUUCGGGAGAGGUGAGUGGAAUUCCUAGUGUAGAGGUGAAUUCGAUAGAUAUUAGGAAGAACACCAGUGGCGAAGGCGGGUUGCUGGGCUGAGUACUGACGCUG
rnacentral:rRNA from 1 species